AAUGUAAUUCCUACAGUGUUAAUGCAUCAGAUCCCAUUAGAAUUCCGCAGUGAAGCGUGCUUGGGCUAUAGUAGUACUAGGAUGGGUGACCUCUUGGGAAGUCCUAUUUUUUGACAUGC
rfam:Picea glauca, whole genome shotgun sequence.